GACGAACGCUGGCGGCGUGCCUAAUACAUGCAAGUAGGACGCAGUUGCGAACGGGUGAGUAACGCGUAGGUAACUACCUAUUAGAGGGGGAUAACUAUUGGAAACGAUAGCUAAUACCGCAUACUAGCAGAUGGAUCUGCGUUGUAUUAGUUAGUAGGUAGGGUAAUGGCCUACCUAGGCAACGAUACAUAGCUGACCUGAGAGGGGGAUCGGCCACACUGGGACUGAGAACAGGCCCAGACUCCUACGGGAGUCAGCAGUAGGGAAUCUUCGGCAAUGGGGGGAAACCUGACCGAGCAAAGCAGCGUGAGUGAAGAAGGUUUUCGGAUCGUAAAGCUCUGUUGUUAAGGAAACGGUACUUAACCAGAAAAGGACGGCUAACUACGUGCCAGCAGCCGCGGUAAUAC
rnacentral:rRNA from 1 species